AUGAUUGGGGACCUUGUCCCUACUGGUCCUACUGUCAGUCCCACAGUGUCUCUGCUCCCCCCCUCCUCUGAGCAGCUCUCUGGGGGCUCUGCCUCACUGGCCUGCCUGCUGACUGGCUACUCCCCUCAGGGGGCGCUGGUGAGCUGGGAGGUGGACGGGCUGAAGGUGAGCCAGGGGGUCGUGACCAGUCCAGAAGAAGAGAAGGAAGGCCUGUACAGACGCAGCAGCACCCUGACCCUGAGCAAGGCAGGCUGGGAGCAGGGAGAGCUCUACACCUGCAGGGUGUCCCACUUCCAACACACCCAGGCCUCCCCCCUUCGUAGGAGCCAGUGUCUGGUCUAGGACCUACUGGAGGAGGCCCACAACAGGAGCUCUGUUUGGGGCCUAGUUGGAGCAGUAGUAGUGUGUUAGAGUGUUAGUACUGUUGGGGAGACCACAGUCUGGGUAGUAAUGUGUAUUGUAUAGAGUACAGGAGACUUCUAUGUGUUCUGUACUCAGACUGUUACUGUGAUGUUGCUGUCUGCCUCAGUUCUAAUAAAGUUGGAUUAGGAAAAUAACAUGA